AGUGAACGCUGGCGGUAUGCCUAACACAUGCAAGUCGAACGACCACACAGUAAGAGCUUUCUCUUACGGUUGGCGACUGGCGGACGGGUGAGGAAUACAUCAGCAUCUACUUUUUCGUGGGUGAUUACGUAGGGCCACUUACACUACUACCGCAUACGACCUACGGGUUAAAUCAGUAGAUCUUCAGACCUUUCCCGACUCAAUUAGCCGGUGUCGGAUUAGCUAGUUGGCUGGGUAAGGGCCCACCAAGGCGACGCUCCGUAGCUGGUCUGAGAGGAUGAUCGGCCACACUGGAACUGAGACACGGUCCAGACUCCUACGGGAGGCAGCAGUGGGGAAUAUUCGACAAUGGGCGCAAGCCUGACCCAGCAAUACCGCGUGGGUGAAGAAGGUCUUCGGGUUGUAAAGCCCUGUUGUUGGGAAAGAAAAGAUGCAGGUGAAACCACGGCCGUUCUGACGGUACCUAAAGAAUAAGCACCGGCUAACUUCGUG
rnacentral:rRNA from 1 species